GUACGCUGGCGGCACGCCUACACAUGCAAGUCGAACGAAGUAGCAAUACUUAGUGGCAGACGGGUGAGUAACAUGUAGGUAUCUGCCCUUUGGCCUGGAAUAACACGAGGAAACUUGUGCUAAUACCGGAUAAGUCUUAACGGAGAAAGCUUUAUGCACCAUUGGAUGAGCCUGCACUUGAUUAGUUUGUUGGUGGGGUAAUGGCCUACCAAGACUGUGAUCAAUAGCUGAUUUGAGAGGAUGAUCAGCCACAUUGGGACUGAGACACGGCCCAAACUCCUACGGGAGGCAGCAGUGGGGAAUCUUGCACAAUGGAGGAAACUCUGAUGCAGCGAUGCCGCGUGAGUGAAGAAGGCCCUUGGGUUGUAAAGCUCUUUCGUCGGGGAAGAAAAUGACUGUACCCGAAUAAGAAGGUCCGGCUAA
rnacentral:rRNA from 1 species